rnacentral:lncRNA from 1 species
CAAUAUAGAACUCGUCAAUAUUACUGGCUGUAAACUGAUGGUCUCGAAAUAUGCACGGUGGCAGUGCUUCUAUAAGGACAUGAAUAGUAACAUACCUUACUUUAGUUCUCAAUAGAAAACACACAAAUCAUGUCGUACUCCUAAGAAGCUAAAUACUGAUACAAAAGUAGAGAAAGUUCAAAGAUGUUAGUCAAAGUCCUCACUAACAGAAGAAAAGCCCAU